rnacentral:tRNA from 1 species
AAUAAAAUGGCUGAGUUAUAUUAGGCGAUAAAUUGUAAAUUUAUUUACGGGAGAUUUCUCUUUUAUUA